rnacentral:lncRNA from 1 species
GGCACCGGAAGGUGAGCUUUCUCGCUGGCUCCCGAACACGCCCUGUGUGGAUCUGGUGACGGCGGCUCUGUGAGUCAUGUCGCUCUGAGUCACGCGCCUGUGACUCGAGCUUUUUUUGGGAGUCCAAAGGGUACAGAAAAACAGUCGUGAUGGCAGAGGCAGGGUGGGGAGGAGGAGGGAGGAGGAGAAGCGGGAGGGGGAGUGCGCGAGGGUUAGCUCCAGAGAGAAACCGACGUUUCUAGAAAAAGCCCGGGGAGGCAGCCCGGCACCCGGGACGUCCUGCAGCGGGCCGCGCGCGGGGAACUUCAGUAAACGUCUCUCCCAGGGAGGGAGGGGGAAGUGACCGGGCACAGGGACGGCAGCGGCUGUGUGCGCCCGGGCAGUGGCCUUUUCCGCCAGGACUGACUGCUCUCGGGGACCAGGGGUUGCCCCAGCUGUGGGGCCACGGCACCCAGUGACUGAGACAUGGUGGAGUGAGCAGUCCCCCAACACGUCCACGGCGAGAGGCUGAGACCCCUGCCCUUGUCCGGCCUGCUGUUCCGUGUUCUGGAAAGCGCCGGCAACGCCUCGCUGUCCCGCCUGGAGAGGGCUCCUGACCUAGAAUGCAGAGUGCCAGAACGUGCGAGAAGACCGCUGAGUCAUCGUCCACGCUCAGUUCGUUCCGCCCUCGGAUCCGUCCUUUGCAGGCACCCGGAGAGGGCGGCUUCAGAGCUGGCACCAACGGCAACGCGGCAGAGCCCCAGCAACAGAGUCGGGAUUGGCAGCACCGUCGAACGCCUGAGCGCAAGGUGCAACGAACGUUUGUUCCCCAUGGAGGUGACGUCAGAGAACUCGGUGGGGAAAGCUGGCUGUCCUUGGUCACAGAUUAUAUAACCAAAAAAGGCUCAAGUUUAUGCGCAGUCGAGCAGUUGGAUGUCGGGCACGCAGAGGGCCCCGGAUCCCACCUGCCAGCGGCUUGUCAGUCACUCGGAAGGCACAGGAGCACGCCCCGAGUGGCCACCGCGGCCGGCGCUGACGCGUGCACACUUCUGGAGGCCAGGAGCCCUGAGUCACGGUGCCGGCCAGGUUGGUUCCUCCUGGGGCCCCUCCCGGCAGCUCCCGGGGGAGGGCGGUGGCACUUGGUAGCCUGUGGCUUGGUCUCCUUCCUGCCCGUGGCCUUCCCCUCCCUCCCCUUCUCUCUCCGCAGUGCACACAUCACGGCGCCCCUGGUGAGAGCCCCCAGAUGCUGGCAUCGCACCGGCCUUCCUUCUGCGAAGACGUCCUGUGGCCCGGGCAGGCGCAGCGGUGAGGGCCUCUUUCCAGUCCACGCAGAACCAGCGCCUUGUCCUCGGUCUGCAACUUGACUCUAAAUCAGAAGGUGCUUAGUGCCAACCAUCGGAGAAGCCUGCAGCUGGGAGUUCUCAUCACCGCCGCCUGUCGGUCCUGCUGGGCCAGGCACACGAGGGGACGCCAGCAGGACACACGGGCAGCUCACGUUUCCUGUCCUGGAUCUGACGUUAAGAAAACGCAGCAAGACCCAUUUUCAUUCACCAAGCGGAAGAGAGAUCCUCAGUGAGAGCCAAGGAGCCACCGGGCUGCACCCCACGGAGCAUAGCGGUCUCUCCCCAAGUCCUCCGCGUUAGGGGGCAGACGGCUGUGUGAGCCGUGCAGCGCUGGGAGGGCUCAGUCCGCAUGGCCGUGUGCUGUCCCGUCUCCUCACCCCUGUGCCCCCCUCCCCACUUGGUCCAACAGAGGCACAGCUCUGCCUCCAGACGGUCCUCUCCACUCCUCGCCUUCCUCCUCCAGGCAAACUCUGCAUUUUAAAUUUUUUUCUUUUUCCCCAAAGCAAAUCUCUCUCUGUCUGUCUCUGUCUCUAGGAACCGAGGUGAGACUCACAUAACAUGACCGUCCCCAUUCUAACGUGGCGCUUGGCGCAUCCUGGCUCUGUCUAGUUCCCCAGAAGGGAACCCGCACCCACAUUCAGGCCUCCCCGUGUUCUCCCCCAGCCCCUUGCUACCUGUCCCCAAGAUUUGGGUCAUAAGAAAAAGGGGGGAACCCCAACAAAAUGCAUAAGCGUCACAGGCCAAGCACGAAGUUUGGUCUACUUAGAGUCUAGGAGCAAGCUUUCUCUGUGAAUUCUGGCGAGUCGACUUUGCUCCGCGGGCAGGGCCCUCCCCGUGACCGCGGCUGUGGGUACCUCCGGAUUUUGCCCAGCGACUGGCGGAAUCUAUUUCUACAGCACAGAGCCCGCUGCUGCCCGCGCUGGCCAGGUGGUGCCGGGCGCAGCCCACAGCCGCGGCCGGCGCGGGUGCUGGGGAGCGCAGGACGCGUGGACCCCUGCUCGCCGCGUGAAACGCCUUUUCA